rnacentral:tRNA from 1 species
GGAGGUAUAACUCAGUGGUAGAAUGUGUGCCUCACAUGCAUGAGGUCCUGGGUUCAAGCCCCAGUAUUUCCA